rnacentral:rRNA from 1 species
AACGAACGCUGGCGGCAGGCCUAACACAUGCAAGUCGAGCGAGGACUUCGGUUCUAGCGGCGGACGGGUGAGUAACGCGUGGGAAUGUGCCCUUCUCUACGGAAUAGCCCUGGGAAACUGGGAGUAAUACCGUAUACGCCCUAUUGGGGAAAGAUUUAUCGGAGAAGGAUCAGCCCGCGUUGGAUUAGGUAGUUGGUGGGGUAAUGGCCUACCAAGCCGACGAUCCAUAGCUGGUUUGAGAGGAUGAUCAGCCACACUGGGACUGAGACACGGCCCAGACUCCUACGGGAGGCAGCAGUGGGGAAUCUUAGCCAAUGGGGGCAACCCUGAUCUAGCCAUGCCGCGUGAGUGAUGAAGGCCUUAGGGUUGUAAAGCUCUUUCAGCUGGGAAGAUAAUGACGGUACCAGCAGAAGAAGCCCCGGCUAACUCCGUG